rnacentral:rRNA from 1 species
UGAAUACGAGAUGCUACGGCGUCGAAGCAGUCUAUGUCAUACUUCCAAGAAAAGCUUGCACUGUCAUAAACAAAUAAUGCCUGUACCAUAACCGACACAGGUGGGUAGGUAGAGUAUACUAAGGGGCGCGAGAUAACUCUCUCUAAGGAACUCGGCAAAAUGACUCCGUAACUUCGGGAGAAGGAGUGCCUUAUUUAUAAGGUUGCAAUAACAAGAUCCAAGCAACUGUUUACCAAAAACACAGGUCUCCGCUAAGUCGUAAGACGAUGUAUGGGGGCUGACGCCUGCCCAGUGCCAGAAGGUUAAAGAAGUUGGUUAGCAUCCGCGAAGCUGAUAACUGAAGCCCUGGUGAACGGCGGCCGUAACGAUAACGGUCCUAAGGUAGCGAAAUUCCUUGUCGGGUAAGUUCCGACCCGCACGAAAGGCGUAAUGAUUUGGAUACUGUCUCGGAGAGGGGCUCGGUGAAAUAGACUUGUCUGUGAAGAUGCGGACUACCUGCACCAGGACAGAAAGACCCUAUGAAGCUUUACUGUAACCUGAAAUUGAAAUUGGACUUUACUUGCGCAGUAUAGGUGGGAGGCGUUGAGAAUAUUCUUGCGGGAUUAUUGGAGCCAUCAGUGAGAUACCACUCUUGUAAUGUUAGAUUUCUAACUUUGUAUCAUUAUCUGGUCAAAGAACAGUUUCAGGCGGGCAGUUUGACUGGGGCGGUCGCCUCCUAAACGGUAACGGAGGCGCACAAAGGUUUCCUCUGAACGGGUAGAAAUCGUAUCUAGAGUGUAAAGGCAUAAGGAAGCUUGACUGUGAGACCUACAAGUCGAGCAGGGACGAAAGUCGGUCUUAGUGAUCUGACGGUGCUGAGUGGAAAGGCCGUCACUCAACGGAUAAAAGUUACUCUAAGGAUAACAGGCUGAUCUCCCCCAAGAGUUCACAUCGACGGGGAGGUUUGGCACCUCGAUGUCGGCUCAUCGCAUCCUGGGGCGGUAGUACGUCCCAAGGGUUGGGCUGUUCGCCCAUGAAAGCGGUACGCGAGCUGGGUUCAGAACGUCGUGAGACAGUUCGGUCCAUAUCCGGUGUAGGCGUUAGAAUAUUGAGAGGAGCCUUCUUUAGUACGAGAGGACCGAGAAGGACAUACCUCUGGUGUACCAGUUAUCGUGCCAACGGUAAACGCUGGGUAGCUAUGUGUGGAGUGGAUAACCGCUGAAAGCAUCUAAGUGGGAAGCCCACUUCAAGGUAAG